rnacentral:rRNA from 1 species
UGCCGCGUGAGUGAUGAAGGCCUUCGGGUUGUAAAGCUCUUUUACCCGGGAUGAUAAUGACAGUACCGGGAGAAUAAACUCCGGCUAACUUCGUGCCAGCAGCCGCGGUAAUACGGAGGGAGCUAGCGUUAUUCGGAAUUACUGGGCGUAAAGCGCACGUAGGCGGCUUUGUAAGUAAGAGGUGAAAGCCCAGAGCUCAACUCUGGAAUUGCCUUUUAGACUGCAUCGCUUGAAUCAUGGAGAGGUCAGUGGAAUUCCAAGUGUGGAGGUGAAAUUCAUAGAUCUUCGGAAGAACACCACUGGCGAAGGCGGCUGACUGGACAUGUAUUGACCCUGAGGUGCGAAAGCGUGGGGUGCAAACCGGAUUAGAUACCCUGGUAGGCCACGCCGUAAACGAUGAUUACUAGCUGUCCGGACACCUGGUGUUUGGGUGGCGCACCUCACGCAUUAAGUUAUCCGCCUGGGGAGUACGGCCGCAAGGUUAAAACUCAAAUGAAUUGACGGGGGCCUGCACAAGCGGUGGAGCAUGUGGCAUUAAUUCGAAGCAACGCGCAGAACCUUACCAGCGUUUGACAUGUGCAGGACGACUUCCAGAGAUGGAUUUCUUCCCUUC